UCCGGGUCAUCCAUGUGCGGC
rnacentral:misc_RNA from 1 species